UAGCACUGACAAUGGUACUCAUAAUGGUCUAGUCUUUCGGAUGAUACGAUAAUCCGAGGUAUCGUGUACACAUUGGCGUACAUGUAAAAGAUCUCUUGAUAGUUGGAAUUCGAUAUAAGAGUAGGCCGCAGUGCCGCUGUCCGGGCACAAUUUCCCUCAUAGCACACUAUAUGGCGCAUGCCCGUCUUCAUUAGCCCAGUUCGAAGCAGAACAGUAGAAGGUUAAACCCCAUUUCAUUUCAUUUCUAGAGUGUCUGGGUAACAUUUCAAACAGACAUAUUUUUAUAACAAGAACAACCAGCCCAUUAUCUGAAUAUAUUUGUUAUACCUUACAUAGUUAGGGAGGUUGGAUGGCCGAAUGAUUAGCACGCGCGCGCUGUAUCAUACGGUCUGUCAUUAAGUCAACUGGCGGGGUUUCGACUCCCCGGUUGUACGUGACAAGGAGUAGGGUCGCCUGUCCAACCUCGUGGGUUUUCUCCGGGUCCUCCGGUUUCCUCCCACUGCUAAAGACCCCUACGCGCAAGCGAAUGAUUGAAACAAAAUUGAACCAUGUGUUAGUCCCGAAAUGACCUAGCUUGUGUCGAGUGGACUUUAAACCCCAUUUCUCUCUCUCUAAUGUAGGCUACAUGUACAUGUAAAUUUGGACAAAAAAACAAAAAGGAAAUGGGGUUGAACAUCCUACUUUUCUGUACCAACCUGGCUAAUUAAAAUGGUCAUCCACGGUCGCCAUGCAAUGUUCUAUCGGAUAAAUUGUGCUCCGACAGAACAAUACAUUAUUUAUUGAUUAGUUUUACAAUGAAAAACUGUGAUUUUAAAGAUUAUUUUAAGAAACUCGUAACUUGACUAAAUUAUCGAGGAAAUUAUAAGUUUCUCAGCAUGUCAAUUAAUUUACAGUCAUAUACAUGUACAUGUACAUGUAUGUAAUUGUGAUUUGCAAGCAAGAAAGGUGUUAACUAGAUUGGACGUUAAACCCCAGUUCAUUUCAUUUUAUUUUAGUUGCUGGGAUAGUUAGAUUUUGCUUAUUUUCUCUCCCUUACACGGUUAUUGGAUAUUUAAAUUAGACAAAUAAUAAAGAAGUUUGGGGCUAAAAUAUGGCUGAUUAAAAUUGUUGCCGUUACUGACAGGUUUAUAAUCGUCAUGAAUGUAAAGGAAAUGAAAUGAAAUGAAACGGGGUUUAUCGUCCUACCGUCUGCUCCGACUGGGCUAAUGGAGACGGGUGAAAGUAAACGCAAUCUUAUCUAACCAUAUACACCGCAUCCGUCACCCGUUCGUAGAUGAGUAUACAGUCGUACAGUUUGUUAACUAAACAAACAUCCUUGUUAAUAAAUGUCAACUCACUAAAAUGAUCAGUGAUAUCGGAUGUUCCAGUAACUCAGCACACCUUACCUCGUGUACUACAGUCAUCACUAAUUAUAGUUAUGCUUAGUACAGCUAAGGUUUGGACCUUGACUGCAGAAACCGAAGCUUGUCAGGUUUGCCCUACUCAACAAAAUAACAUUUACUCCAAAACCUUAUCACAAAGGGCUGAGAUUGAUGAUCGAAUGGUUUAACGAUUGUCCACUGGGUAUAAGGUCUUUCAGUGAGUCAAGUGGCGUGGUUUCGAUUUCCCGUUUGUACGUGACAAGGUGUAGAGCCGUCUGUCCAAUCUUAUUGGUUUUCUCCGGGUCCUCGGCUUUCCUUUCACUGCUAAAGAUCCCUACGCGCAAGUGAGUUAAUGAAAUAAAACUUAAACAGGUGUUAGUCUCAAAAUGAAACAAUUGUGUCGAGUGGACGCUAAACCCCAUUUCACAAAGCAUUAGAGAGCUGCACAGUACUCCUGUUAAAGAGUCUUUCUCACAGAAUCAACCAGUUUUGAUAAAUUUGGUAUCGGUGAAAUUCACAUAAACUAAAAUUAUUAAAUUAAUUUUAAAUUCUACUCUGAUUUACAGUUAGUUAGAUUACAUAAUAAUUAUCAUAUUACUUGAAAAUAAAAGUUAAUCAUGCAAAUAUCAAAUCAUGCUUAUUUACAAUAAAAGUGUUUUAACGUUAAACGGACCGAGGUUUUAUAGUUAUUGGUGUUUUAUAUAUUGGAAUCUAGAUAAUAAAGCAUAAAAAUUAAUAGGUUAGAAUUGUAAUAUUAAUGAUAUAUUGAAUACAUUAACAGCUAUUUUAUUGAAAAUAUAUUAAAUUUGUCGAAAUUAUUAAAAAAUAUUAAACAGUUUUAUUGUGUUUUGAACAAAGGUUCAGAUUUGAUGAUGCAAUGAAACUUGCCUAUAUAAACUGUUUGUGAAUUUGAAUAAUUCAGAAUCCUGAGAGAAGUUUGAAUAGAAAACAAGUCUAUCAACAGAUUGAUCAAUAUGGAAAGUGUAAAGAUAUUGUUUGUGCUGUGUUUAAUAUUAGAAUGCUGCAACUGCUGGGUAAAUAAGUUUGACGAGCCAGUAUGGUAUGAAUGUCCAGUCGGGGAACAGCUUUUUUCAAUAUCCAGUGAACAUGUUAACGCUUACGAGGACAGACAAUGGGACUUCUCGUGCGCCAAUUUGGCCCCAUUGGGCUUAUGUUCUUGGCAUAAUAAUAUUAAUGAGUAUGACGAAGUAAUGGAUUUUAAAUGUCCAGACGCGGGUGCAAUAACCGGUAUCAAAAGUGCCCAUGACGACCAGAGAGAGGAUAGGAUUUACCACAUCGAAUGCUGUGCAAUGUCCGCAACUCCUAAUGUAUGCAAAUUGACAGAUUAUGUAAACGAAUUUGAUGGCCUCCUUGAAUAUAGAAUUCCAGCUAAUAAAUACAUAAAUGGGAUAUACAGUGUGCACCAAAAUCAACAAGAAGAUCGACGUUUUAAAUUCAACGAAUGCGAUCUCCCGAAAUGAUGAUUUACACGUGCAGUCCCUCUUUAAGAGAUUGAUAAAUAAAGAUGCAUUUUA